rnacentral:rRNA from 1 species
GACGAACGCUGGCGGCGGGCUUAACACAUGCAAGUCGAACGGAAAGGCCCUGCUUUUGUGGGGUGCUCGAGUGGCGAACGGGUGAGUAACACGUUAGUAACCUGCCCUUGACUUUGGGAUAACUUCAGGAAACUGGGGCUAAUACCGGAUAGGAGCUCCUGCUGCAUGGUGGGGGUUGGAUAGUUUCGGCGGUUGGGGGUGGACUCGCGGCUUAUCAGCUUGUUGGUGGGGUAGUGGCUUACCAAGGCUUUGACGGGUAGCCGGCCUGAGAGGGUGACCGGCCACAUUGGGACUGAGAUACGGCCCAGACUCCUACGGGAGGCAGCAGUGGGGAAUAUUGCACAAGGGGAGGAAGCCUGAUGCAGCAACGCCGCGUGCGGGAUGACGGCCUUCGGGUUGUAAACCGCUUUUGCCUGUGACGAGGCGUGAGUGACGGUAAUGGGUAAAGAAGCACCGGCUAACUACGUG